rnacentral:rRNA from 1 species
CAGCCGCGCGGUAAAACGAAGGGUGCAAGUGUUAAUCGGAAUUACUGGGCGUAAAGCGUGCGUAGGCGGUGAGUUAAGUCUGCUGUGAAAUCCCCGGGCUCAACCUGGGUAUGGCAGUGGAUACUGGCUCGCUAGAGUGUGUCAGAGGAUGGUGGAAUUCCCGGUGUAGCGGUGAAAUGCGUAGAGAUCGGGAGGAACAUCAGUGGCGAAGGCGGCCAUCUGGGACAACACUGACGCUGAGGCACGAAAGCGUGGGGAGCAAACAGGAUUAGAUACCCGCGUAGUCCCUGUCUCUUAUACA